UGGGGAAUCUUGCACAAUGGGGGCAACCCUGAUGCAGCGACGCCGCGUGAGCGAUGAAGCCCUUCGGGGCGUAAAGCUCUUUCGACCGGAACGAUAAUGACGGUACCGGGAGAAGAAGCUGCGGCUAACUACGUGCCAGCAGCCGCGGUAAUACGUAGGCAGCAAGCGUUGUUCGGAGUUACUGGGCGUAAAGAGUGCGUAGGCGGUUUUCUAAGUUCGGUGUGAAAUCUCCCGGCUUAACUGGGAGGGUGCGCCGAAGACUGGGAAGCUGGAGUGUGGGAAAGGCAGGCGGAAUUCCUGGCGUAGCGGUGAAAUGCGUAGAUAUCAGGAGGAACACCGGCGGUGUAGACGGCUUGCUAGACCAUAACUGACGCUGAGGCACGAAAGCGUGGGUAGCAAACA
rnacentral:rRNA from 1 species